GCUGGGCAUGGUGGCUCAUGCCUGUAACCCCAGCAACUCGGGAGGCUGAGGCAGGAGGAUCACGAGUUCAAAACCAGCUUCAGCAAAAACAAGGCACUAAGCAACUCAGUGAGACCCUGUCUCUA
rnacentral:sRNA from 1 species